rnacentral:tRNA from 1 species
CGCUAAGAAGCUAAGACAGGAAAGCAGCGUUAGCCUUUUAAGCUAAAGAUUGGUGGCGCCUAAUCACCCUUAGCGA